AGAGAAAUACAGACGUGUUCGCGUCAGCCAUGGUGAAGCAGCGCAUGACAGCCCUCGAUGUGAGGGCAACGGUGGAGGAGAUGCGGGCAACGCUGAUUGGGCUGCGGCUGCUUAACAUCUACAACAUAGGCAACAAGAUGUUCCUCUUCAAGUUUGGACACGGCGAGAACAAGAAGAAUGUGCUUCUCGAGAGCGGCACGCGCUUCCACCUUACGGAGCUGGCACGCGAGAAGCCGAAGGUGCCGUCGCAGUUCACUCUAAAGCUGCGCAAACACAUCCGCGCCUGGCGGCUCGACAGCAUCGCGCAGCUCCAGCAUGACCGCACGAUCGACCUCUGCUUCGGUGUUCCGUCGACAGAGGGCUGCUUUCACAUUAUUGUGGAGCUCUUCUCGAAGGGCAACGUGAUUCUGACGGACUACGCGUACACGAUAAUGAUGCUGCUCCGAACGCACCGCGACGACGAGGGGCUCAAGCUGAUGGUGAAUCAAGUCUACCCCGUAACGGCCCCCUUUGUUGCCGCCGUGGCAGCCGAGUCGGCGGAGGCGCAGGAGGUCGAUACUGCCACGGUUGUAUCCGCGGCGGCUUCGGUGGCGAGGACAGCUGCGGCGGCAGCGGAGGAGCCGCAUAUGUUCCUCUACCCUCCGCACGUGGACGCCUCUGGCCACCUGCACGUGCAGCACACCGCUGACGCUGACCUCACACUGGCCCAACGACAGCUGAAGGAAGAGCGCACGCGGUUGAUGAAGGUGGACUGGGAAGUGGGGCUCAGCCGCAGCAACGACCGCACUGUCGUGCAAACCUUGGUGGCGGGCAUUCAGCACUUUGGACCUGACCUGGCGCAGCACGUGCUCACCGUCACAGGCGUGCUGAAAACGCCGCGGAAGAGCUGGACGCAGUCGGCGGACAACGUUUUCGAAGCGUUGCGCCCCGGUCUGUUGGAGGCCUUUGACCUCGCCAAGGUCGACCUCACCUCCGCCGGCGGCUACCUCAUCAAGCCAAAGGCGAAGCCCGCCAGUACAGCGCAUACCCCAGCGCCACCAGCGCCAGGCGCCUCCGCCGCUGCAGCCGACCUCGUCGCCGUCGCGGAGCAGUACGAAAGCUUCACACCCAUCUUGCUCGCCCAGUACACAAACGACGGGGUGGAGGCGCUCUACCGCACCAGCUUCGGCCGCGUUUGUGAUGAGUUUUUCCUCAUCACAGAGACGGAGCGCAUCGACGCGUCGAAUGCGAAGCGCACGAAAACUGCCAAGAGCAAGGAGGACAAGUUCGCGGCCGAUCACGCACGUCGCAUCAACGCACUCGAGACAGACAUCGCGGCUAACCAGAUGAAGGGCGAGCAGCUCAUCUUGAACGCGGACCGCGUUGACGAGGCGAUCCAGCUGAUCAACGGUGCCCUGGCAACGGGCAUCUCGUGGGAUGCCUUGCGCAUGCUCCUGAAGCGGCGCCACGCUGAGGGGCACCCGGUGGCGUACAUGAUACAUGACCUCUUCCUCGAGCGUAACUCCAUUAGCGUCCUACUCGAGACGGUGCUGGACGAGGAGAAGGGCGAGGAGGACUGCGAUGUGCCGCCGCUCGUGGUCGAGGUGACGCUGUCCAAGACGGCGCACGCGAACGCGGCGGACUACUUCAGCAAGCAGAAGCAACACCGCUCGAAGCUGGAGCGCACCGUUGCGGCGACCGAAAAGGCCGCGGCGGGGGCGGCGCGCAAGGGCGCACGCAAGGCGGCGGCUCAAAAAGAGAAGAAGGUGAUCGUCAAGGAGCGACAGCGCAACUGGUGGGAAAAGUUCUUCUGGUUCCGCACAACCGCGGGCGACCUCGUGCUGCGUGGAAAGGAUGUGCAGUCGACGGAGCUGCUGGUGCGGCGCGUAAUGCGCCUUGGAGACCUCUUCAUCCACUGCGAUGUGGAUGGGUCCCUGCCGUGCCUGCUGAGGCCCAUGAACGACGUCUGGCAGGAGCUCGGUGGCAACAACGCAGGCGGAGACCUCACCGCCUCGCCGGCGACUCAGCCGGUGGCCCUGCACAGCGUGUGUGAAGCAGGUGCGUGGUGUGUCGCCUUCAGCGGCGCAUGGGAGCGCAAGCAGACGACUGGCUCGUGGUGGGUGUACGCGUCGCAGGUGACGGGCGGGACGGCCACUGGCGCGUAUCUCUACGCCGGAGAGCGGCACCACCUGCCGCCUCAGUCGAUGUCGCUCGGGUGCGCGCUGCUCUUCUACGUCGCACGCACCGUGCGUGAGCCGGCGGCGGUCGCACGGGCUGAAAGCGCUGCCUCUGUCGACAAUGACGACGAAGGGCCAGAGCACGUAGAGGACGACGCCGUCGACUCGUUCACGGUGCUGCGGCGUGAGCUGCCGAGCUUCCUGGCGUCGCCCGCCGACGCCGGCCAGCCAAGUGGCGCCGGAGAAGCAGUCGUGCCCGCUGAUGCGGCGGCUGCGCUUGUCGAACUGCCCUCCGUGGAGACCCUUCGUGCGGAGCAGCGCAAGCAGCGAAACUUGUUUGUGGCAGGUGGCUGUAAUUCUUCUGGCGGUGGCCGCGUGGAUGGGCGCCAAAAGAAGGGCAAGGCAGCGAAGAAGGGCGGGGCGCGAAACUCACGUGUCGACCGCGCAGGUCUGCAGGGCACGCCGGCUGCAACCAUCGCCUUCCUUCCAUCCUCGGCUAUGGAAGACGGUGCAGCCGCGGCGGUGGCGGCGACGGCCACGCAGAAGGGCAGCGCCCAGGGCAGAAAUCUCACAAAGCAUCAGAAGAAGAAGCUGAAGAAGAUUCAGGACAAAUACGGCGACCAGGACGAUGAGGAUCGCAUGCUUGGGGCGCAGGUGAACGGGAACCAGCUCUCCCGCGUGCAGCUGCUGGAGCUGCAGCGACGCGCCGAGCAACGUCAGGAGGCGGAACAGGCCAAGCGCACACAUGAGAAGGCAAACCUCUCUGCUCAACGCGUGUUUUGCACGCCGCAGUACCGCUCCCUCGGCAAUGAUAACGGGCAGGAAGACGCGGAAGAGGAAGAGGAAGGGGAAGACGUCGAGGUAGUGUCUGAGUUUACGGACGAUGGCAAAGAGGCGGAGACGAACGUCGCGGUGGUCGGCGCGGCGGCGGCGGCGGAGGCGGGCGGCUCCGACGAGGAGGACGAGCACGCAGCGGCGGUCGAAGAGGCCGGUGGCGGCUGUGAGACUGAGGAAGAGGAAGAGGCGACGGAGGCUGGCGCUGUCGCCUCGACAGCAGCGCGGUCGCGCAACGACCGCGACGCGGCGAUUGUUCAGCAGUCCGCCGAGCUCAAUCGUGCCUUCCCGCACUACACCAUGCGACCCGGCCCAAUGGACACCGUGCAGCACGUCGUGGUUGUCUGCGCGCCAACGAUCGCCGUGAGCGAGUACGCCUACCACGCCACGCUGUGCAUGGGAAAUGCCAAGAAAGGCGCGCUGGCGGCGAAGCUUCUUCAACUGUUCACGGCACGUGCAGAGCAGGGUGAAGCUGGAGCUGACGGCACCUCGACAGGCGUCAGUGCAGUCUCCCCUGGCGCACAAGGGAGUAAGGCAAAGAAAACGGCAGCGAAGAAGGGAAGUGGUGGAGCGCCAACAGACUGCCCCCGCUCACCAUCAUGGGCGCCGUCGCCUGCUGCAGCCACUGUGAAUCCCUCCGUGGUGAAGGCGCUGCAGAUGAUGAGCACCAACGAUGUCGUGGAGCAGCUGCGAGCCAACGUGAAGCCAAUCGAGUUCCACCUGUGAACUGCGCACUCAGGUGGAGAAGAGAGAGCCGGUAAGGAUUCAAAAGAAGGAAAGGGGGCGAACAGUUCGGUGUGCGCGCAUGCACGUUGGCCGGGAGCAGCCCUCCCCACAUGCCCCCCGAUCGUACUCUGUGUCGCUUCUCGGCCUCGCACUCUUCUCGCUUGGGUCAUAGGUGUAGGUUUGUAUGUUUUGAUGGGGUGCGCAGAAACUCCACUGUAGCACCCUCCGCUCUUGAGGUGGUGGCUGGCCCUCUCACGCGCAUACACACACACACCGCCUCUUCUGUUACGCAUAUUUCGCUACUCAUCAUUGAUCGCCGUUCCCACCACCACCGCCGCCCCAACCGGCUGUCUGUGGCACAGAAGCGCACCCGACGCCUCUAACACGCAUGCAUCAUGAAAG
rnacentral:misc_RNA from 1 species